AUUGAACGCUGGCGGCAGGCCUAACACAUGCAAGUCGAACGAGUGGCGGACGGGUGCGUAAUGUCUGGGAAACUGCCUGAUGGAGGGGGAUAACUACUGGAACCGGUAGCUAAUACCGCAUACCAUCAGAUGUGCCCAGAUGGGAUUAGCUUGUUGGUGGGGUAACGGCUCACCAAGGCGACGAUCCCUAGCUGGUCUGAGAGGAGGACCAGCCACACUGGAACUGAGACACGGUCCAGACUCCAACGUGAGGCAGCGGUGGGGAAUAUUGCACAAUGGGGGAAAGCCGAAUGCAGCCAUGCCGCGGGUAUUAAGAAGGCCUUCGGGUUGUAAAGUACUGUCAGCGGGGAGGCGUUACCCGCAGAAGAAGCACCGGCUAACUCCGUGCCAGCAGCCGCGGUAAUAC
rnacentral:rRNA from 1 species